CCUUCUUUUUCUCGCUUUUUUCGGAAUUACUGGGCGUAAAGCGCGCGUAGGCGGCUUUGUAAGUUAGAGGUGAAAGCCCGGAGCUCAACUCCGGAACUGCCUUUAAGACUGCAUCGCUAGAAUCAUGGAGAGGUCAGUGGAAUUCCGAGUGUAGAGGUGAAAUUCGUAGAUAUUCGGAAGAACACCAGUGGCGAAG
rnacentral:rRNA from 1 species